UGGCGGGGGAAACCCUAGGGAUAGUGCCACAGAAAAUAAACCGCCAUAACAUGGCAAGGGUGAAAAGGUGUGGUAAGAGCACACCGGUUCUAUUGGUAACAAUGAACGCUGGAAAACCCCACUGGGAGCAAGACUAAGUAGAGAUGACAUUGUGUAACAACUAAAAGCCAUCCUUGGCUCGUCAUCAGGGUUAGUUGCUUGAGCUUAAGAGUGAUCUUAAGCCUAGACAAAUGAUAGGUUUAAAUGACAGAACCCGGCUUACAGUUUAUCUGGCAAA
rnacentral:RNase_P_RNA from 1 species